rnacentral:rRNA from 1 species
AACGAACGCUGGCGGCGCGCCUAAUACAUGCAAGUCGAGCGAGAAGGUGUAGCAAUACACUUGUAAAGCGGCGAACGGGUGAGGAAUGCAUGGGUAACCUACCCUCGAGUGGGGAAUAACUAGCCGAAAGGUUAGCUAAUACCGCAUACGUUUCCGGAACUUCGGUUUCGGAAAGAAAGCAAUACCGUGGGUAUUGCGCUCCUGGAUGGGCUCAUGUCCUAUCAGCUUGUUGGUGAGGUAACGGCUCACCAAGGCUUCGACGGGUAGCUGGUCUGAGAGGACGAUCAGCCACACUGGCACUGCGACACGGGCCAGACUCCUACGGGAGGCAGCAGUAAGGAAUAUUGCGCAAUGGACGAAAGUCUGACGCAGCGACGCCGCGU